rnacentral:lncRNA from 1 species
CAACAUAUAAAUUAAAAUUUUAUUCCCACAAGGAAUAUCAAAAUAAUUAAAAAUUUAAGAAUUAAAAAAAAACUGGACUCAAUUUUUAUAAGAUAAACUUUAAAUACCACCCCAUAGUUUUGCAUCUUAAAUACCAUCCCUAUGAUUUAAAGUGUAUCAAUUUAAUACCUUCUGAUUUCAUUUUUCUUUUUCGUUAGCCACUUUAUUAACUUAUCGUUAAAUCAUACAUUAAAAACGUGAGAUGUCUUAUCUAUAGUUUAUCGAAUAUUUAUUUUAGUGAAGAGGAUAAUAAAAAAAAUUAAAAUAAAAUUAUAGAGUACAAAAAUAAUAUACCUUAAAUCAUGAGAUAGUAAAGUAAGAAAGUGUAAAACCACAAAAAAGUGGUAUUAAAAGG